rnacentral:rRNA from 1 species
UACGGGGGGGGCAAGCGUUGUUCGGAAUUACUGGGCGUAAAGGGCUCGUAGGCGGCCAACUAAGUCAGACGUGAAAUCCCUCGGCUUAACCGGGGAACUGCGUCUGAUACUGGAUGGCUUGAGAUUGGGAGAGGGAUGCGGAAUUCCAGGUGUAGCGGUGAAAUGCGUAGAUAUCUGGAGGAACACCGGUGGCGAAGGCGGCAUCCUGGACCAACGCUGACGCUGAGGAGCGAAAGCCAGGGGAGCAAACGGG